AUUGAACGCUGGCGGCAGGCCUAACACAUGCAAGUCGAACGGUAACAGGAAACAGCUUGCUGUUUCGCUGACGAGUGGCGGACGGGUGAGUAAUGUCUGGGAAACUGCCUGAUGGAGGGGGAUAACUACUGGAAACGGUAGCUAAUACCGCAUAACGUCGCAAGACCAAAGAGGGGGACCCUCGGGCCUCUUGCCAUCGGAUGUGCCCAGAUGGGAUUAGCUUGUUGGUGGGGUAACGGCUCACCAAGGCGACGAUCCCUAGCUGGUCUGAGAGGAUGACCAGCCACACUGGAACUGAGACACGGUCCAGACUCCUACGGGAGGCAGCAGUGGGGAAUAUUGCACAAUGGGCGCAAGCCUGAUGCAGCCAUGCCGCGUGUAUGAAGAAGGCCUUCGGGUUGUAAAGUACUUUCAGCGGGGAGGAAGGGAGUAAAGUUAAUACCUUUGCUCAUUGACGUUACCCUCAGAAGAAGCACCGGCUAACUCCGUG
rnacentral:rRNA from 1 species